CCUUGGGGCCACCAGCCGGGUGGGGAGUGGCUUCGAGGGGCCUCUCGCCAGCGGAAGGCCCGCGAGGCCGCCCUCGGAGCACCGCCAGAUUUAUAAAACUGUUCUUUGCAAGUGCCAGAAAUGGACUGUAGCUAACUUAAGCCACGGGUAAGGGAGAAGGGGGCCAGGGGAGCCCCAGGGACUCACUACUGCUCGUGUGGGGCUGACAAGCCAUCCAGAGGCAAGAAACCGAGGACCAGAGAGCUGGCACUACCUGCCAAAGCCACAUAGCUGGGAGGAAACAGGAGCCGUGGGAAUGCGCACUCAGAGCAGGUAAGGGGUGCAGAGCCUGAGACAGCCAGGAUCCCGGGGUUCUGGGCUGGCGGAGAUGCUGCUGGAGCUUCAGAGCUGGGGAGAGACAAGCUGCCCCAGACACUGGCCUGAGGCCUGUGUGGGCGUGGGAGGGAGCCACAGCCCAGACACACCUGGCCCAGGGCCCGGCCCUGGGGUGGAGUUUCGCAUCUGCUCCUUCUCACUUCACCCCAGCCAGGGGUGAAAGACGAGGGCCCCAGCCAGCCUGGAGUCAGCCAGCCUGCCUGACAAACAGGAAAGACCAGCAGCAGAGGCUGGGAGCACCCUUGCUGGGCCUGGGCUGUUCCUCUGGUCCCAGUGGAGGUGGGAGCCCCCAGGUGCCCUGUACCCAUUUCCCCCUCAGCCAGGUAAGGGGAGAGGCGAGGGAGGAGAGAGAGCAUCCCAAACCCAGCUUGUCCAGGCCUGACAUCUGCAGAUCCCUGUACUGCUCCCUGUUUUCCACUCAUUUCACAGGCCUUUCUUUACCUGAUCUUGUCCAGAGUGUUUUGUCUGUGAAAUCACAGGCUUAAUGUGUUGGCUUUGUUUUUUUGGUAACGCACACUAAAAUAAAGCAUAUGUGUUUUAAAGAUUGCUGGGCCAUCUGUGGAUCAUGUAAGAUGCCUGGCUUGGGAGGACAACCCUUGUUCGGAAAGCGAAGGGCCUUGCUGGGAUGACCUGGGAAGGGACAGUCACAAGGGGCAGCCCCAGCCUGUGGCCUUGAGUAGGUCUAGAGACCCUCGCCCCACCUUGACAGGCCUGGGCCCCAGAAGCAGCUUUGCCAGGCAACCUGG